rnacentral:lncRNA from 1 species
GUGUGUAGUAGAAAGACGAUCCAUUUUCUUCCAGUCAAUUUUUUACUUUGAUCUAAAGAACUUGCUUCUUUUCUUUGAAGUUGUUCACAAUAGAGCAUGAUAGAAGGAACACAGGUAAUAAUUACAGAAACUUCAAUAGGAAAAAAAAAACAUGUUUUAAAUGAAAGUUUUAAGCCCCUUGCCUUAUGUCCCAGGACUGUUAAAGAUGAUUGAAGUGAUUCCUGCCAGUAUCUAUCAUAAUGCCCUUUUCCCCUUAUCAGAGACCAGCCAAAGGUACAAAGGUUAUGCCUUUCUUGAUUAAUCUAUGUGACAGGGUCAAAUUGACUGUUGUUUCUGUUUUUUUCUACAGAGUGCCAGAGGCAGGAAACUACUAUGCUUCACUAGUGACUCAUAAGAAAACUUAAUAGAAGGUCUCUAAUGCCCACCGGCCCUACAGUUCCUGAUUGAUGCAGUCCCAAACUCAGCAGGCUCCCCUCAUUGAACCUAGCAUGUCAGAGGCAUGGGAGAGAAGGUGGGGGAAGGAACACUUGUACUCUGGUAGAAAGAAAGGUGGGUCUGAUAUAUUUUGCUCUUGGUAAUUUUAUCUAUAUUUAUGAAGACAACAUUCUGUUAUCAUUGUUACGUAUCCAGUAAGAACAUUUAUGUGGGUGUUUUAUAAUCUUGCUGGUUUAAACAUAUAGUUAAUAGAGUUGGAUGUCCCUGUGGGAUCCUCAGUUUCCUAGGCUGUAAAGUAGAUUUAAUAACAUAUAUCUCAUAGUUCUUUGGGGAAGAUGACAUUAAAUGAUGUUGCAAAUAUUUGAAAGGCUACCUAGAAAAACUUUUAAGAGCGUAAUCAAGGGUGAUUACUAUAAUUAUAUGUAUAUAUGUGAAACACUCUUGAAAGGCACUGUUAGGACUAUUGCUGACUUGAUGACACAUGCUAUUCACCCCUGGAAGUCAUUGCUCCCCAUUUCAAUACAGUGUAGAAACGUUCAUCAUGUUUGCACUUGGAAACUCAUGCUGUCACCCAGGACCAAAACCAAUACAACUAGCUGAGAGGCACUAUGCUAGGUAUGUAACAGUAGGCAGCAUUUAACUGUUAUGUUGAUGUUGGGGAGUACUUACUGUAAAAUCAUUCUUUUACAUACUUUGCAAUGUAAAAGAAACUUUAUACAUAUUCACAAAUAUUUUCAGGGCCAAAUAUGUACUCACACUUAAUAUUUGGUUUGUGUAUUUUAUCACAGUGUUUCCCAAAUCUAGCUGUGCAUGAGAAUCACUAUGGAGAAUAUUGAAAAUAUAGAUUCAUGGGCAAACCAACACUGGUGUUCUGAUUCUGUAGGAAAAGAUGGGGAGCCCAAAGUUGUAUUCAGACUAUUUCUAAGACUGUUCUGAUACCCAAUCAGAUUUGGGAAUUAGAGUUCCAUAGGAGUUCCAAUAUGGAAACUUAAUAUAACUUUGUAGUAAAAAACACAGGACCCCUUUGUACUUUAUUUUUCUAUCUUCUCAUAUAGUAUGUACAUGUCUCUAAGAGAAAGAUAAUAUGGCACCCAUAUGACAAAACACAAAUGUAAGAUAUGCCAGAAAAAUUGCUGAUGUGAGAGAAAAAGACUGUGUCAUGCUUUACAAAGUUAUCAUUACCUCAUCCAUGUAGGAAGCACUAAGUUUGAUUUUUGCAAAAUUUUCUUUUCCUUGGACUUUAAUUAUUGAAGUAUCUUCAGUACGUGCUGUCUUCAGAUUUAUCUCAGCAAAAAGCAAGGGUUCUAGUCCAUCAGUGUAGCCUGUUUUUGUGUUUCCAUUUAUGGAUUGGUCAUCAUUAUAAUGUUAAGGAAUUAAUGAGAUAUGAAGAAUGAAAGUAUUAUGGAGUUUUAAAUCAUUUAAAGUCUUUCAGUAUUAUUACAUCAGAGAAAAUUACAUUACAGAGAAAAGUAAAAUCCAUGAUGAAAAUGAGAAUUAUAACCUCAGCUAAACUAAUUUAACUAUGGUUUUUAAAUAUCUUUUGGAUCAACUCAUUACUUCCCCCUGUUCACUGUAGUCUUAAGAGGUGAUAGGGGCGCCUGGGUGGCGCAGUCGGUUAAGCGUCCGACUUCAGCCAGGUCAUGAUCUCGCGGUCUGGGAGUUCGAGCCCCGCAUCGGGCUCUGGGCUGAUGGCUCAGAGCCUGGAGCCUGUUUCCGAUUCUGUGUCUCCCUCUCUCUCUGCCCCUCCCCCGUUCAUGCUCUGUCUCUCUCUGUCCCAAAAAUAAAUAAACGUUGAAAAAAAAAUCUUAAAAAAAAAAAAAAAAAAGAAGUGAUUGACCCAACUUUAUAGUGUUCUGAGUAACCCCUCAGAUACAGCUGACAUGACCGCAGAAUAUAUGGAAUUAUUUCUCAUGCAUAUAAUGUGGUCCUGUGUAUUAAAUCUGGGUAGGUGAUGACAUCCUCUCUUAAAGUAUCCCUCUUUUAAAUAUGAGCUCCCAUGGAUUUUUUUAUUUUUUCCCCUCAGUUAUGAUUUACUGUCUAAAUCCUACCUAAACUGGUAGAGGCACCAACCAACAGCAGUGCUAUGAGGGCUCAAACAGCAUCUAUGGUUCUUGGAGUCACGGGAGCCUACUUUGUUCAGCCUGUAUAUAGCAAAUGGUCCGUGAAGCUGCUUGAAAACAUUGUUUCUCUGCUUCCAAGAGUGAAACCUAUGUGGUAAUCUUUUUAGGUAUCCUCCCAAGACACCUGUAUCUUUUCAUGCAUUCUAGCAUUUUUCAGGGCAUGCCCUUUAUUCUUCUUUGAAUUGUUCCAGUUAAAACUCUGUUUAUUUUUUCAAAUUUUACCAUUUACAGUCUUUAAAAGAAAAGAUCAUAAGCUCCCUGUAAAAAUAAAUAUACCAUAGUUAUCCUCCAUUUUAUCACAGUAACUAUGAGACAGGGAAAUAGAGAAUGUACAAAAAUAAUACAACACGGAGUUAGGAUUACUUACAUUUCACUCUGUCAAUCAGGGGUGACUUUGGGCCAGUUUCUUUAUCAAUCUAAGCCAUUUCCCUAUAUGAAAAGGGGCAUAAAGAUGUGUACCCUCUACUUGAUAACAUUACUGUUACUUUAACAUAAGGUUACUAAUUUGAAGAGGUUUGGAAUCAUGAAUUAUUAUAUAACAAAAAUAAUAGUAUUAAAAUAAGUCACUUAUGGACCAACAUCUCAGGUUUUAUAGAGUACAAGAGUAAAUAGGCUUAUAUAGACAGCAGAUUGUGGCCAGAAAUAAGUGCUAAGAUUUAUAUAUGUCUUUUGUGAAAUAUGGUUAAUAAUGCCUGUUAGGAGUGUUGUAAAGAUGAAGGAGAUAAAGUUUAUCUCUGGACCGCAUUUGCCUCCCAACUUCCACUUUCUUAAACUCAUUCUGCCUUCCAAAUCCAUCCAGCUCAAGAAUUGGAAACUGUACAUAUAAAAGUUUCACAAAACCAAACAAGAAUCAAAACUUCUUUCCUCUGGUUUCCCAUAGGUGCUAGAUAGUUCCAUCAUGAAAUGUAUCUUACAAUGAUCGUUAUCUGUUCAUUGUCUCCUAUGUUAUACCAUAAACUCCUUGAAAUGUAGGACAAUUGAUUUCAUUAACUAUAUUCCCCACAUUUGACAAAUGUCAGCUACCACUCAAUAAACAUUUGUGGAAUUAAAGUAAGUAGAUCAGUAAUGGGCAUUCAAUUGAUACUAGAUAUAUAAAUAUUCUAUUCUAAUUCUCAUGUUAAAAUUCAACGCUUCCUUUAUCAUUCAGAAAUAGUUUUAAAAAUACCAUGACAGUGGUAUUAUUAUAUCGAAUGUUAUUAUGUGAGAUAGUUUACUCAGCGGAAGUGCUUUUCUGUAAUAAACUGAAUAUUACAAUCAAAUUUAAUUUCAAAAAAAAUCCUGCCACGUCUUGAAAAUUAUAAUGCUAUCUCUCCUUAAGAUGCUUGUCCUCAUGAAGCAUCCAUAUCCUCAUGAAGAUGUUGGUGCUAUGUAAGUUCCAAACCACCUAAAAGUCCCACCCAAGUGAUUAAUACAUCUUUCUAUACAGUAGUCAUAGAAUCCAGUGAGUGUGUUUACAUACAAUGGAAUUGUAGCUUGAAUGGAUUAAAGGAAAUGAACUUUAAUGCUUCCCGGAAAUUCAUAGCUUCACAAUAGCAAGAAAGGUUAAAAUGGGAAAGUUUCUCCCACUGCUUUCACUUUUUUUGUUCUCUUAACAAAACAAAAACAAAAACAAAACAAAACAAAACAAAACAAAACUCAGUCUACAGGGAGGAGCAGUAUUUGGAGCUCCCACGGAGUACCGUGCCUAGCAGUCUUUCAGUCUUACUGAAUUUCUGAACGUAUACACAAUGCACUGCGAAAGCGCCAUCGUCUUCCUUUACCAUUUUCUUGGUUCUUCCUUUUCACUCUCCUCAAAAGCAUAUAGAAGCAGAUAUCAGGGAAAGAAGGAGGUAAUGAUCAGAAUUGGUAACUGGGAUGGAAGUUCUGCCUCUGAUCCUAAGAACUGCUAUUUUCCCCCAGAUAAACAUUACCCACGUAAGACACGGUGAGAGCCACAGAUCCAGGGAUGGACGAUCCUUUUGAGGACAAUAGAGAGAGAAUUUGUAUAAGUUUCCUGAGUGGGAAACCUUCCAGAUGGCAGCCCUGAAAGUUAGUUUUUCCUGCUCAAA